AUUCAACUUCAAGAGUCUGUUUGCGAAAACAUACCCAAAUUGCAUCGCAUUCAACAUAAAAGAAUUUGACUACCGUUUUGUUCCAGUACCCCAGACUCAUUUCAGGUACGACACCGGCAUAUUCCUCCUGCAAAUUCUAAAAACAUACCGGGGGAUGGGAGUGCCAGGAUUCACAACUCAUGACCUACAGGCCUUAAGAGAAAUUUUUCU